rnacentral:rRNA from 1 species
GACGAACGCUGGCGGCGUGCCUAAUACAUGCAAGUAGAACGCUGAAGGAGGAGCUUGCUUCUCUGGAUGAGUUGCGAACGGGUGAGUAACGCGUAGGUAACCUGCCUGGUAGCGGGGGAUAACUAUUGGAAACGAUAGCUAAUACCGCAUAAUAGCAGUUGUUGCAUGAUAACUGUUUGAAAGGUGCAAUUGCACCACUACCAGAUGGACCUGCGUUGUAUUAGCUAGUUGGUGGGGUAACGGCUCACCAAGGCGACGAUACAUAGCCGACCUGAGAGGGGGAUCGGCCACACUGGGACUGAGACACGGCCCAGACUCCUACGGGAGGCAGCAGUAGGGAAUCUUCGGCAAUGGACGGAAGUCUGACCGAGCAACGCCGCGUGAGUGAAGAAGGGUUUCGGAUCGUAAAGCUCUGUUGUAAGAGAAGAACGAGUGUGAGAGUGGAAAGUUCACACUGUGACGGUAUCUUACCAGAAAGGGACGGCUAACUACGUG